UUUGCAAAUACGCCGCGCAGGCCUAUAUAGAAAAUGUCCUUCGGGACUAUAGACAUAAACGCGCUCGUAAUAAGCGGAUCGGACCCGGGGGCGGUACCCGGCGACUCCACCAAAUAUCCGUCAUUUGCGGAUCAUGGGGUCGAAAUAGGAUCGACGGACGUCCAAAGGGGUUAGCUUUGUCUCGGUGAGAUACCACCGUUAUCGGUUCAAAUAAGCUAGUUGCAAAUGACAACAAAGCUCCGAUGGCUCUCGCAGCGUAAGCUGUGCGAAAUAUCGAAACCUAAGCCCUUAGGUUUAGCGACCUAAGGCGGGGUUCGCAGGUACCUGGCAACAGAAACCUG
rnacentral:tmRNA from 1 species